UCGACACAUAUUUCCACUUACUCCCGCCACUGGUCCUAUGCUUUCCCUGCUGGCUGGCACUCCUCGACAGUUUAAAAUAAAGCUUGCAGUGUCCCAGGAGACCUUUCCCCUGGGCCAGGCACGCACGUUCAUCCAGUAACUGCUCAAGGCUAGAAGCCAUGCGAUGCUGUCAAUUAAAAACAAAAAACAAAAACAAAACAAAAAAAUGAUCACAGGUUCGACUCUCUUCUCUGCAUUCUCCAGGUGCUUCCAUCACCACCAUCGAUUGCGUUUAAUAGCAUCUUCUGGCUAAAUGACUACAUUUCUGUUCCAGACACAAACAAAGCAUUAAAAUAGUGUGAAGUUUGUUGAGGGCCAGCUUCUCUGUGGUGGCAGCUGCCUUCAGAGCAGCGCUAGCCAGCCCUAACCAACCACUGCUGCAAUUACGGUGUCUUUACCACCGACAGACCCAAGCCUCACUUUUUGUCCAUUUUCCUGGUUACAUAUGAGAGGUACCCUGCCCUAGGAGCCCCACAUCAGCCAGUUUCCCAUCUUGCUUCCCUGUGGAGGUCCAGAGAGUGGCAAUGCAAAACUGAUCACCGACGCCCGAGUCUAUCGACCAAAGCUGCUCAACCCGGAAGAAGCUUUCCCUAGUGCUGAAUUGAAAAAUUUACUCGUUACUAUUUUUAAAUCCUGUUAGACUAGGUCUGGCCUUAUCACGCAGUACACAAAGAUAGCUACAUAUAUUGACUGUCAAGUGGCCCUAAGGAAGCCAGGCAGAGGCCGACUUAAUAGACAGAGGAAGUUGGGAACCAACGGUCAGACUGGACCAUUGACUACACCCGUUCAUUCUGGAAAAAAAGCCCCUGAGCUGCUAAAUGAUAACCUUACAGAUCACCUUCUUUUAACCCCAGUACACGCUAAUUUCGAAUCAUUAUUUGGAGGAGAUCCUAGAAAGUAGCCCUGCUCACAACUGUGUCAUUGAGGAGCUUCGCUGAGCACUUCUGGUGUCCAAGGUGAACCCUUGGUCAAAUUUCCUUGGCAUUUUCUAAAUCCCUGCUACAAGACUGAGGAGAGGAAAUGCCCUUCUCCCCAUGGGUAGAGAAACACCAACUGGAAUGUCAGAAGCCCUCACUCCAGCCUGAGCCUCCUGGAGAAGUGGAUUAGCCAUCUUCCCUACAUACCUGAGCCAGUACCCUGUGAUGGAUCUCUCCUUAAACAAGCAGCUGAUUGGCUGAUAUCGAUGGAUAAUAGAUGAUUGACAGACAGGUGGUAAUUGCUGGAUUAAUAGAUGUUAGCUAAUACACUUGGACACCUAAGAAUGUACCCUUU
rnacentral:lncRNA from 1 species